rnacentral:rRNA from 1 species
UUCGGCGGCCAUAGCGAAAUGGGAAACACCCGGAUCCAUUCCGAACCCGGAAGUUAAGCCUUUCAGCGCCGAUGGUACUGCAACCGGGAGGUUGUGGGAGAGUAGGACGUCGCCGGAC